rnacentral:lncRNA from 1 species
GGAGAAGUCGCCCGGUUUCUGCUUGCUGGUCGCGAAAUUUUAUAGCUAUAAUUAACUCAGGGCGGAACAGCUAGCAGAAUCCUCAGCGUUCGGGCAAAGGGCAGAGAAUCCAGCCAGAAGCAACAUGUAGAUCUAAUGACCUUCUCCAGGAGUCGAGGACCCACUACCUCGCUGAAUUCUCAGAGUCAAAAUGCGUCUCUACCUGCUGGUCCCAGAACAGUCCCCUGCUGCUGCAUUGAAUGAAUCUCAUCUCACUUCCUCGAGUCAGCCCUACCUAUAUUUGAUGAUCACAAACCUUAUCCUUACGUUGCCAGCAGUAACAUUCUGCAUCCCUCACCCACUCCACUGUGUCCUUUUCCUCCCACUGAUCUUCACUCUGCCUUUUCUAGGGGAACUCUGAACAGUAUUUCUGAGAAGGGGUAGGUAAUGUGCGCUUUGCUUCAGUCUGAGUGGAUUCCAUCAACCUCUGCAUAGAGCAGGGGUGGAAAGAAAUCCUGUGUCAUUGCAGCUUCUUUUCGAUCUAAGCUUUCAUGGCCUUAUUAUGUAGUUUACAUGUUUUUGUCAGACAACAGGAUGUUUUGCCUAUAUCAUUCUAUUUCCCUUUCUCAAAUGUUGGAGAUGCCAUAGUAAUUAAUGAAGUACAAAUCCAUUUUAAAAUAUCUUACUCCUGGCCAGGCGCAGUGGCUCACUUCUGUAAUCCCAGCACUUUGGGAGGCGGAGGCGAGCGGAUCACUUGAGGUCAGGAGUUUGAGACCAGCCUGGCCAACGUGGUAAAACCCCGUCUCUACUAAAAAUACGAAAAUGAGCCGGUGUGGUGGCAGGCGCCUGUAGUCCCAGCUCCUCCGGAGGCUGAGGUGGAAGAAUUGCUUGAACCCAGGAGGCAGAGGUUGCAGUGAGCCAAGAUCUUGCCGCUGCGCUCCAGCCUGGGUGACAGAGUGAGACUCUGACUCAAAAAAAUCAUGCUCCUCUCUGCUUGGUGUAUGUGUCUUUCCUUAAAGUUAGAUAUUAAAAGUACAAUAGAGUCACAGUCUCUUAUCUGGAAGUUUUGGGGUCAGAUAACUUUCAGAAUUCAGAUUGUUUCAGAUUUUUCUAAAAGUAAUAAUGCACGUAUGAUGUGGUUAUAUAAUGCUCUGGGCUCUGGGACAACACCCGAUAGUCAAACAUAUUAUUGUUACUAUAGCAAAAUGUAUGAAUAUUUUCACACUUCAUGGAUGCGUAAAGAUUAUACAUAGCUUCAUGUCGACUCAGGUCAACUUUUGUUGCCAAAUAAGUUACAAAAAAAACUUAUUUUGUAGAGCUUUUUGGAUUUCAAAAUGGUAGAUAGGGAUUGUGGACCUGUCUUAGUAUAAGUACCUAUUGAGAGUCUGUGAAAUUUUUUUACUUUAAAGAAUAUUUUCCAUAUUCCAAAAGGUUGGAAACCACAGUUAUAUUGUAUAAGCAGGGGUCACAAACUCAAGUGCAAGGGCCAGUAAAAUAAAUAAGUGGGAGGCGGGUAUAGGACAGUAGGGAAUGGGGGGACUGUAGUGAACCGGUGAGUACGUGUUCAUUCAAAGGGGAACAUGGCCACGUAUUGUCAUGGUGAAUGUGGGAGUAGUGAAGCCUCAUCUUCCAUUUUUAAUGAUACUCCAGAAUGCUGAAUUCCAUGUGAAGUUUCUUGAUAUUUAAAUAUUGGCAACCAAAAAGAAAAAAGAAACUCACUGUAUUAGCCAAAUAAAACAUAAUCUGCAGGUUUUAUCUGGCUGCAGGCUGCCUGCUUUACUUCUGAUUUGCAGAUUAAUGCCGAUGGUAUGAAAAGUUGUCAGUGUUUUUGGUAAUGAAUUACUUCUUGAGAUGUGGAUGGAUACAUAUGUUUUGUAAUUAUUCAUUACACCCCAUAUAUAUGCUGUAUGGUUUUUGUGUAUAAAAUAUUUCAUAAUAAAAAAACCUAGACAGGCCAAGUUGGGUGGAUCACCUGAGGUCGGGAGUUUGAGACCAGCCUGGCCGAUAUGGAGAAACCCCAUUUCUACUAAAAAUACAAAAAAUUAGCAGGGCAUGGUGGCACAUGCUUGUAAUCCCAGCUACUUGGGAGGCUGAGGCAGGAGAAUCACUUGAACCCAGGAGGCGGAGGUUGCAGUGAGCCGAGAUCGCGCCAUUGCACUCCAGCCUGGGCAACAAGAGCGAAACUCCGUCCAAAAAAACAAAAAAACAAACAAAACCUAGACAACUUGCUAGUCACUUUAUUUUAGACCUGCCUCAUUUUCUGGCCAGUGGGAAGUUUCCUUCUUAUCUACAAAUUUGAAACUUUAAAUUUUUUUAUCUUGGAAAAGGGAAUGAAAGCCCCACUUUAAAAAUGGGAGCCCUCCUUAAAAGUAGUUUAGUGGCCAGGCACUGUGGCUCAUGCCUGUAAUCCUAGCAUGCUGGGAGGCCAAGAUGGGAGGAUCACUUGAGGCCAGGAGUUUGAGACUAGCCUGGUCAAUAUAGCGAGACCCCACCUCUCUCUAUAGAUAGAUAGAUAGGUAGAUAGAUAGAUAGAUAGAUAGACAGAUAGAUAGAUAGAUAGAGAUAUAGAUAUAGUAAAAGUAGGAGUUUAAAAAGGUUAGAUUGUAGCUGAGCGUGGUGGCUCACGCCUGCAAUCCCAGCACUUUGGGAGGCCAAGGCGGGCAGAUCACGAGGUCAGGAGAUCGAGACCAUCCUGGCUAACACAGUGAAACCCCAUCUCUACUAAAAAAAAUACAAAAAAAAAAAAAAUUAGCCAGGCAUGGUGGCAGGCGCCUGUAGUCCCAGCUGCUGGGGAGGCUGAGGCAGGAGAAUGGCAUGAACCCAGGAGGCGGAGCGUGCAGUGAGCCAAGAUCGCGCCACUGCACCACUGCACUCCAGCCUGGGUGACAGAGCAAGACUCCAUCUCAAAAAAAAAAAAAAAAAAGGUUAGAUUGUAAUCUUUCUACCUUUCCAGGGCCAUAGUGAUCCGAAGUAACAUUAGGUAUCUGUCCUUAUAUUGGGACAGAAAGAUGUCCUUCGUGUCCUCUCUUUUGAGAUCUUUUCCCUGGGUCAUCUCAGCUCCAUAACUGUCACCUCAUGAUUGAUGACUCUGUUUUAUGCUUCCAGUGCUGGCAUCUCUUCAUCCCUAGAGUGAUGCUGCCAUCUCCGUCUUGAAUGUCUCUGCUGACAUGACCUGCUAAACUUGAACUCAUAGGCGGGGCAAUCGCUUGAGCCCAGGAGUUCAAAACCAGCCUGAGCAACAGAGGGAGAUUUCAUCUCCAUUCUUUCAUUUUAUUAUAAAAAAAAUUCAAAAUAAAAUGAAAUUGAACCCAUGAACUUCAUCCUCAAAUUGGCUUCAUUUCCCCCUGUCCCCUAGUCCAUAAGGCACCAAACUUUGGCCUGCAGGGUAAAUCCAGCCCAUUGCAUGUUUUAUACAAAAGGUUUAUUGGAACACAGCCACACACUACAGCAACAGGGUUGCCUAGUUGGAAUAGUGAUCCAUACAACUCACAGGUCCUAUAGUAUUUACUCUCUGGCCCUUAAUAAGAAGUAUUCUGACCCCUGCCCUAGGGUAUUGAAUGCCCUCAUGUUACUCACCAUACACUUGGCAGUCCCCCUGUUUCUCCUCUUUUUUUUUUUUUUUUUUAAGACAGAGUCUUGCUCUGUCGCCAGGGUGGAGUGCAGUGGUGCGAUCUCGGCUCACUGCAACCUCCACCUCCUGGGUUCAAGCAAUUCUCCUGCCUCAGCCUCCCAAGUAGCUGGGAUUACAGGCGCACGCCACCACACCCAGCUAAUUUUUGUAUUUUUAGUAGAGACAGGGUUUCACCGUGUUGGCCAGGAUGGUUUAGAUCUGUUGACCUCAUGAUCCGCCCGCCUUGGCCUCCCAAAGAGCUGGGAUUAUAGGCAUGAGCCACUGCACCCAGCCUCUCCUCUGUCUUCUAUACCCUGGCUAUUACUGUGAUCUGGCCGUGCUACCUCCUUGGUUAUCUUUUGACUCGGUCUCUCCUUCUCUGUGGCUGUCCUUCCUGUUACCUUCAUCAGGUGCUCAUUGUUUCUCACCUGCACUCAUAAUUGUCAUCCAGCUGGCUUUGCUGGUUUGAGCUGGAUUUAUCCCUUUUGUCAUCUAGCUGUCACUUCUGUCUGAUGUGGUAGUCACCAUUGUUACGAUUAUAUCUGUUCUAUCCUAAAUUAUUUUUUUCCAAUGAAUUCUGUAGAGUUUAGAAUUCCUACAUUUAGAGGAAAUUAAUAUUUAUUUUUGACAGUAAUUCCAAAUUUC